AGUCGACGAUGAAUCUUCUAGCUUGCUAGAAGUGGAUUAGUGGCGCACGGGUGAGUAAUGCAUAGGUUAUGUGCCCUUUAGUCUGGGAUAGCCACUGGAAACGGUGAUUAAUACUGGAUACUCCCUACGGGGGAAAGUUUUUCGCUAAAGGAUCAGCCUAUGUCCUAUCAGCUUGUUGGUGAGGUAAUGGCUCACCAAGGCUAUGACGGGUAUCCGGCCUGAGAGGGUGAUCGGACACACUGGAACUGAGACACGGUCCAGACUCCUACGGGAGGCAGCAGUAGGGAAUAUUGCUCAAUGGGGGAAACCCUGAAGCAGCAACGCCGCGUGGAGGAUGAAGGUUUUAGGAUUGUAAACUCCUUUUGUUAGAGAAGAUUAUGACGGUAUCUAACGAAUAAGCACCGGCUAACUCCGUGCCAACAGCCGCGGUAAUACGGAGGGUGCAAGCGUUACUCGGAAUCACUGGGCGUAAAGAGUGCGUAGGCGGGGUAAUAAGUCAGAUGUGAAAUCCUGUAGCUUAACUACAGAACUGCAUUUGAAACUGUUACUCUGGAGUGUGGGAGAGGUAGGUGGAAUUCUUGGUGUAGGGGUAAAAUCCGUAGAGAUCAAGAGGAAUACUCAUUGCGAAGGCGACCUGCUGGAACAUUACUGACGCUGAUGCACGAAAGCGUGGGGAGCAAACAGGAUUAGAUACCCUGGUAGUCCACGCCCUAAACGAUGGAUGCUAGUUGUUGCCUUGCUUGUCAGGGCAGUAAUGCAGCUAACGCAUUAAGCAUCCCGCCUGGGGAGUACGGUCGCAAGAUUAAAACUCAAAGGAAUAGA
rnacentral:rRNA from 1 species